rnacentral:ribozyme from 1 species
AGGACAGAAGAAUCAAAAAAGAAAAAAGAAAAGAAAAACGAUCCAUCUCCCAAAACCUUAGUCAUCGUCGCUCUUCUUCUUCUCUUCUUC